AAUCAACGCUGGCGGCGUGCCUCAGACAUGCAAGUCGAACGCGAAAGUUCCCUUCGGGGGGCGAGUAGAGUGGCGCACGGGUGAGUAACACGUAGGUAAUCUACCUUUGGGUGGGGAAUAACAGCCGGAAACGGCUGCUAAUACCGCAUAAUGCAGCGGCUCGACAUCGAGACAGUUGUUAAAGCGGGGGAUCGCAAGACCUCGCGCCUAAAGAGGAGCCUGCGGCGGAUUAGCUUGUUGGUGAGGUAAUGGCUCACCAAGGCAUCGAUCCGUAGCCGGCCUGAGAGGGCGGUCGGCCACACUGACACUGACAUACGGGUCAGACUCCUACGGGAGGCAGCAGUCGGGAAUUUUGGGCAAUGGGCGCAAGCCUGACCCAGCAACGCCGCGUGAAGGAUGAAAUCCCUCGGGAUGUAAACUUCGCAAGAACAGGAAGAACAAGUAGGGGACAAUACCCCUAUGAUGACGGUACCGUUUGUAAGCUCCGGCUAACUCCGUGCCA
rnacentral:rRNA from 1 species